rnacentral:rRNA from 1 species
AGCAUAUAAGUGCGAAACCUGACCUAAGAUUAGUUCUCCCUAUCAUUUGAUAAUAAGACUCGUUGUAGACUACGACGUUGAUAGGCCACAAGUGUAAGUGUAGUAAUAUAUUAAGCUGAGUGGUACUAAUUAGUCGAAUGGCUUUAUCAAUCUUUUU